rnacentral:rRNA from 1 species
GAUGAACGCUGGCGGCGUGCUUAAUACAUGCAAGUCGAACGGAGAUAGUAGCAAUAUUAUCUUAGUGGCGAACGGGUGAGUAACGCGUUGGUGACCUGCCCCGAAGAGAGGGAUAGCAGUUCGAAAGGACUGAUAAUACCUCAUGUGGUUGAGAGUUUUAGAAUCUCUUAACUAAACGGAUUUAUUCGCUUCGGGAGGGGCCUGCGUCCCAUCAGCUAGUUGGUAAGGUAACGGCUUACCAAGGCGAUGACGGGUAGGGGACCUGAGAGGGUGGCCCCCCACAAUGGAACUGAAACACGGUCCAUACACCUACGGGUGGCAGCAGUAGGGAAUAUUGGUAAUGUGCGAAAGCGCGAACCAGCAACGCCGCGUGCACGAUGAAGGCCUUCGGGUCGUAAAGUGCUUUUAGAGAGGAUGAGGAAGGACAGUACUUUCUGAAUAAGCCUCGGCUAACUACGUG